UACUCCAUGCGAGGCCGGACUUGUGCUU
rnacentral:piRNA from 1 species